rnacentral:rRNA from 1 species
CCUACGGGAGGCAGCAGUGGGGAAUAUUGCACAAUGGGCGCAAGCCUGAUGCAGCGACGCCGCGUGCGGGAUGACGGCCUUCGGGUUGUAAACCGCUUUUGACUGGGAGCAAGCCCUUCGGGGUGAGUGUACCUUUCGAAUAAGCACCGGCUAACUACGUGCCAGCAGCCGCGGUAAUACGUAGGGUGCAAGCGUUAUCCGGAAUUAUUGGGCGUAAAGGGCUCGUAGGCGGUUCGUCGCGUCCGGUGUGAAAGUCCAUCGCUUAACGGUGGAUCCGCGCCGGGUACGGGCGGGCUUGAGUGCGGUAGGGGAGACUGGAAUUCCCGGUGUAACGGUGGAAUGUGUAGAUAUCGGGAAGAACACCAAUGGCGAAGGCAGGUCUCUGGGCCGUUACUGACGCUGAGGAGCGAAAGCGUGGGGAGCGAACAGGAUUAGAUACCCUGGUAGUCCACGCCGUAAACGGUGGAUGCUGGAUGUGGGGCCCGUUCCACGGGUUCCGUGUCGGAGCUAACGCGUUAAGCAUCCCGCCUGGGGAGUACGGCCGCAAGGCUAAAACUCAAAGAAAUUGACGGGGGCCCGCACAAGCGGCGGAGCAUGCGGAUUAAUUCGAUGCAACGCGAAGAACCUUACCUGGGCUUGACAUGUUCCCGACAGCCGUAGAGAUACGGCCUCCCUUCGGGGCGGGUUCACAGGUGGUGCAUGGUCGUCGUCAGCUCGUGUCGUGAGAUGUUGGGUUAAGUCCCGCAACGAGCGCAACCCUCGCCCUGUGUUGCCAGCACGUCGUGGUGGGAACUCACGGGGGACCGCCGGGGUCAACUCGGAGGAAGGUGGGGAUGACGUCAGAUCAUCAUGCCCCUUACGUCCAGGGCUUCACGCAUGCUACAAUGGCCGGUACAACGGGAUGCGACCUCGUGAGGGGGAGCGGAUCCCUUAAAACCGGUCUCAGUUCGGAUUGGAGUCUGCAACCCGACUCCAUGAAGGCGGAGUCGCUAGUAAUCGCGGAUCAGCAACGCCGCGGUGAAUGCGUUCCCGGGCCUUGUACACACCGCCCGUCAAGUCAUGAAAGUGGGUAGCACCCGAAGCCGGUGGCCCAACCUUUUGGGGGGAGCCGUCUAAGGUGAGACUCGUGAUUGGGACUAAGUCGUAACAAGGUAGCCGUACCGGAAGGUGCGGCUG